GCCCUCGUAGCUCAGUCUGGAUAGAGCGGCAGAUUCCUAAUCUGUAGGUCGCGCGUUCGAGUCGCGCCGAGGGUACCA
rnacentral:tRNA from 1 species